CUACUCCCCUGUGUCGCCUUGCCUCCACGACUCGGCCGCGUCGACUCGCCUGAUAGUGGGGAUAACGUCCGGAACGGGCGCUAAUACCGCAUAAUUCCAGUGAUCUCCUGAUCGUUGGAUGAAAGGUGGCUUCGGCUACCGCUUAUGGAUGGACCCGCGGCGUAUUAGCUAGUUGGUGAGGUAAUGGCUCACCAAGGCAAUGAUACGUAGCCGACCUGAGAGGGUGAUCGGCCACACUGGGACUGAGACACGGCCCAGACUCCU
rnacentral:rRNA from 1 species